GCCCAGACUCCUACGGGAGGCAGCAGUGGGGAAUAUUGCACAAUGGGGGAAACCCUGAUGCAGCGACGCCGCGUGGGUGAAGAAGUCAUUCGUGACGUAAAGCCCUAUCAGCAGGGAAGAAAAUGACGGUACCUGACUAAGAAGCCCCGGCUAACUACGUGCCAGCAGCCGCGGUAAUACGUAGGGGGCAAGCGUUAUCCGGAUUUACUGGGUGUAAAGGGAGCGUAGACGGAAAGGCAAGUCAGAAGUGAAAGCCCAAGGCUCAACCAUGGGACUGCUUUUGAAACUGUCAAACUAGAGUACGGGAGAGGUAAGAGGAAUUCCUAGUGUAGCGGUGAAAUGCGUAGAUAUUAGGAGGAACACCAGUGGCGAAGGCGUCUUACUGGACCGAAACUGACGUUGAGGCUCGAAAGCGUGGGGAGCAAACAGGAUUAGGUACCCCUGUA
rnacentral:rRNA from 1 species